rnacentral:tRNA from 1 species
CAUUAAGAAGCUAUGCAACAGCACUAGCCUUUUAAGCUAGAGAAAGAGGAAAACAAAUACCUCCUUAAU